rnacentral:ncRNA from 2 species
CGCCCCUCCGCAGGAGAGAGGGCACCUGCCCCGCCGAAGGCGCAAACUCCCAUAAACGCUCAGGCACAUGUACUGCGGGCUUCAU